AUUGAACGCUGGCGGCAUGCUUUACACAUGCAAGUCGAACGGCAGCGCGGGCUUCGGCCUGGCUGCGAGUGGCGAACGGGUGAGUAAUGCAUCGGAACGUGCCCAGUAGUGGGGGAUAGCCCGGCGACAGCCGGAUUAAUACCGCAUACGACCUGGGGGUGAAAGCGGGGGACCGAAAGGCCUCGCGCUCUUGGAGCGGCCGAUGUCGGAUUAGCUAGUUGGUGGGGUAAAGGCUUACCAAGGCGACGAUCCGUAGCUGGUCUGAGAGGACGACCAGCCACACUGGGACUGAGACACGGCCCAGACUCCUACGGGAGGCAGCAGUGGGGAAUUUUGGACAAUGGGGGCAACCCUGAUCCAGCCAUGCCGCGUGCGGGAAGAAGGCCUUCGGGUUGUAAACCGCUUUUGUUCGGGAAGAAAUCCUCUGGGCUAAUACCCCGGGGGGAUGACGGUACCGGAAGAAUAAGCACCGGCUAACUACGUG
rnacentral:rRNA from 1 species